AAUCCAUAGGUUAAUGAGGCGAACCGGGGGAACUGAAACAUCUAAGUACCCCGAGGAAAAGAAAUCAACCGAGAUUCCCCCAGUAGCGGCGAGCGAACGGGGAGGAGCCCAGAGCCUGAAUCAGCAUGUGUGUUAGUGGAAGCGUCUGGAAAGGCGCGCGAUACAGGGUGACAGCCCCGUACACAAAAGCGCAUGUGCUGUGAGCUCGAUGAGUAGGGCGGGACACGUGGUAUCCUGUCUGAAUAUGGGGGGACCAUCCUCCAAGGCUAAAUACUCCUGACUGACCGAUAGUGAACCAGUACCGUGAGGGAAAGGCGAAAAGAACCCCGGCGAGGGGAGUGAAAAAGAACCUGAAACCGUGUACGUACAAGCAGUGGGAGCACAGGUUUACCUGUGUGACUGCGUACCUUUUGUAUAAUGGGUCAGCGACUUAUAUUCUGUAGCAAGGUUAACCGAAUAGGGGAGCCGGAGGGAAACCGAGUCUUAAUUGGGCGUUAAGUUGCAGGGUAUAGACCCGAAACCCGGUGAUCUAGCCAUGGGCAGGUUGAAGGUUGGGUAACACUAACUGGAGGACCGAACCGACUAAUGUUGAAAAAUUAGCGGAUGACCUGUGGCUGGGGGUGAAAGGCCAAUCAAACCGGGAGAUAGCUGGUUCUCCCCGAAAGCUAUUUAGGUAGCGCCUCGUGAAUUCAUCUCCGGGGGUAGAGCACUGUUUCGGCUAGGGGGCCAUCCCGGCUUACCAACCCGAUGCAAACUGCGAAUACCGGAGAAUGUUAUCACGGGAGACACACGGCGGGUGCUAACGUCCGUCGUGAAGAGGGAAACAACCCAGACCGCCAGCUAAGGUCCCAAAGUCAUGGUUAAGUGGGAAACGAUGUGGGAAGGCCCAGACAGCCAGGAUGUUGGCUUAGAAGCAGCCAUCAUUUAAAGAAAGCGUAAUAGCUCACUGGUCGAGUCGGCCUGCGCGGAAGAUGUAACGGGGCUAAACCAUGCACCGAAGCUGCGGCAGCGAACGUAUCACUUAAAGCGAUUCAGCGGGUUACGAUUAACGGAGCGAAGCGACGUCAAAGCGUAUACAAAGUCGAGUCGGUUUAAGGAUACGUUCGUUGGGUAGGGGAGCGUUCUGUAAGC
rnacentral:rRNA from 1 species